GACGAACGCUGGCGGCGUGCUUAACACAUGCAAGUCGAACGGAAAGGCCCUGCUUGCAGGGUACUCGAGUGGCGAACGGGUGAGUAACACGUGGGUGAUCUGCCCUGCACUUCGGGAUAAGCCUGGGAAACUGGGUCUAAUACCGGGUAGGUGCCUUCUUUAGUGUGAUGGUUGGUUAGCAUUUUCGGUGUAGGAUGAGCUCGCGGCCUAUCAGCUUGAUGGGGGGGUAAUGGCCUACCAAGGCGGCGACGGGUAGCCGGCCUGAGAGGGUGGACGGCCACAUUGGGACUGAGAUACGGCCCAGACUCCUACGGGAGGCAGCAGUGGGGAAUAUUGCACAAUGGGCGCAAGCCUGAUGCAGCGACGCCGCGGGGGGGAUGACGGCCUUCGGGUUGGAAACUCCUUUCGCUAGGGACGAAGCUUUUUGUGACGGUACCUAGAUAAGAAGCACCGGCUAACUACGUG
rnacentral:rRNA from 1 species